rnacentral:rRNA from 1 species
AACGAACGCUGGCGGCAGGCUUAACACAUGCAAGUCGAACGCCCCGCAAGGGGAGUGGCAGACGGGUGAGUAACGCGUGGGAAUCUACCGUACCCUACGGAACAACAGUUGGAAACGACUGCUAAUACCGUAUACGCCCUCCGGGGGAAAGAUUUAUCGGGGUAUGACGAGCCCGCGUUGGAUUAGCUAGUUGGUGGGGUAAAGGCCUACCAAGGCGACGAUCCAUAGCUGGUCUGAGAGGAUGAUCAGCCACAUUGGGACUGAGACACGGCCCAAACUCCUACGGGAGGCAGCAGUGGGGAAUAUUGGACAAUGGGCGCAAGCCUGAUCCAGCCAUGCCGCGUGAGUGAUGAAGGUCUUAGGAUUGUAAAGCUCUUUCACCGAUGAAGAUAAUGACGGUAGUCGGAGAAGAAGCCCCGGCUAACUUCGUGCCAGCAGCCGCAGUAA